UGCAAGUCAAUGGGGUUUACUAGGGUAGUGGUCUCAAAGUUGCAGGUUGCUAGGGUUCAGGCAAGGACUUACUAUACACGGUAGGGAGUCUUUUGUCGCAGGCUAAGGAAUGCGACAACUCCGGUGUCGGUCAUAGACACACACCUUAAGGGCUAGGUUGACAGGUCAGGCACCGACUGCCAAAAGGUGUCGGAUGGCCACUGUGGUUGGCUAUUGGUUAGGCUAAGCUGGGUUGUGGAUAUAUAAAUAUCCGGGUAGGGAUAGCGACCUAGCUAAGAUAGGUUUAGCCAAUGGUCAGCCUGAUUCUGAUACCAAGGUUGUAGCGACCGGUUUUUCAAAAAAAUCCAGAAAACAGGGCUUUGUGUUCACCAGCCCCAUGACUAUUGUUAGCUGGUAGACACUUACUUGAUAUAGAAUAUCCAAGCAAAAAUACAAAAUCUAGGUUACAAGAUCAUAAAGGUCUAUUGGUUUGGACAAGGUCAGAGGCUGACGACGGGAGCGACUCGAGGAUUCUCCAGUGCCUAGGGGACUCCAUUCCCACAAGAACAGCUGACCUGGAUAAAUUCCUAUCUCACAAGGCUGAUAUCCUGGACUCCUAGCUUCUAGGGUUGACUGCAUCGUGCUCCUCUCCGUACGCAAUCUGGCCAACACAAUAGUCAGGGACAACCUAGCGAGUACUUUGAAUGUACUAGCAAACAUCAAGAAAACAAAUAAGUUAAAGUAGGUGAGAUGCAUGCAUAAUCCCCUUAAUAACUCUACCAUGCCAUUAGAUUUAUUUCAUGGAUGCAUUCAUGCAGAUAAGCAAUUUCCAGCAAUGUUGUAUGAACAAGUAAUAACAUGUGUGCCGUAGUCAGGCGUCGGAGCGACACCGCCUAAAGGGCUCACAUGUAAGUAAUAACAGUUCCCACAAUCGGGCAUCUAAGCAACACCACAGAAAGGGCUUAUAAGAAAUAAUAACAAUCACACUGCAGUAGGGCGUCUAAGCGACACCACAAGAAGGACUUAUAAGAAACAACAAUACAUAUUGAACAUCCAGGAGGUAGAACUGUCCUAGGGAUAUUCAACAAACAUAAUCAUAGGGGUUAAUCCACAGUAAUAAUAAUAAUAUGAUCAUCCACCAUAUUUCAUGUUUAGUCUCACGACUUCUUUAGCUUCCUCCGCAGACCGACACUCAGGCCGACACUUGACUAGUCAACCAGUCAUCCUUGACCGUGGACACGGGUACUCGAAUAGUUUUGACUCUGCAGAGAGUGUACUCUUUACCCACAACCCAUGGGUUUCAAUAGUCACUCGGACUAAUCUCGCGUACGGUAUUUUAGAAGUAAAUUCUCAAAACCAGUACGCACACAUUUUUCCCCUGUGAAGACCGACAUCACUCGAGCUACGCUGCCAGAGAAAAACCUUAAGACGGGGAGGCUCCAACCUCGACUAGCAUGGGAUCAAAUUUAUAAUGUGCGCUACAAGGGAAUGGCCAUUCCCUCUUGGUCCCAGACCGGAAACACCCAUGCCCGCUGAGCGGAUGACUGGAUUUAGUCCAGGGCCAUGGAUACCUUCAUCCCAGACACUCUAUUUGGUGUGUACCUGGUAAUAGAUUUACGACCUACUAGACCGUAUUCCCUUUCAGAAAGACAUACGGCGGCACGAUAUCUAAGGUGACACACAUACAAGACUCGAUCUACGGUCGGCUUAGGAGGUUUAAUGUUUUCGUGCAAGGGUUAGUACCACAUAAUAUUGCUGCGGAAUUAUCUCAGGGUUACUUCCAUCACACUCCGACAUGCUUUCACUGACCACUCUUCUUCCACGAGAUGUCAGCCCAUGGUCUCAUUUCCACCACGACACACCUUACUCCGAGGUUGUCCACACCAACAUAGCAUACGAGGUAUGAGGCAGUAACCACUCACCACUUGCCUCCCACAAACUUAGCAACAAAAUAUCCAUCACAUGCUCUUAUGCAAGGUAUUAUUUCAUGCAAGAUUUUUAUUAAUAUAAUCUAAAAAUCACGCAAUAGAUGCACCACCACAAACAUCACCCAACUUUUUGCUAAUUUGAGUUCAAGAUGCUUGCCUUUGGAGUUUGAGGAGGGUAAGGUGGACCCGAAAAUCUUGGAAAAAGCCUCCUCUCUCCAUGUACUAUUUUGAAAGUAUUUGAAUUAACACGCAAACACAAAACAUCACACAAAAGUUGUUUGAAUAUUUUUGAAAUAAAUAUGUAAAUAAACUAAGGGCAAUUUGAAAGAAGUAGGAAAAUAAUCAGUCCAUUUGGAGUUUUCUAUAAAACGUUAGAGCCAUUUUAAGUUUAUGUUUAAUUCUGUUUUAAAACAAUCACAAAAGAAAAUGCUUCGAUCGGGAACACGCUUUCCAUCGGAGAAACGCUACGGGCUAGCUACGCUAUGAAGGGAAGAAGGCGCACUCACCGCGUUACAACUUCUCUGGAGAGAAGCGCAUAGACACGGCUGCGUCAUCGAGGCCGAGGCUUGCCUCGCUGACAGGCGGGGCCCGCAUGUUGGGUUUUCCCCUUCCUCCUCUCGCGCGUAGGGGACAGGGACAGGGCCAGGGAGAUUUCCAGCGACGCUCACAGGUGGCACAGGGCACCAUCCUUGAUGCUUGACCCAUCCACGAGCUCUGGAGGAUGAGUCGCACCACGUGGAGGGUAGAGGAGCACCCGGUGUGCUCCGUCUAGGCACGACUUAGCUCAUGGCGGACGGAGGCGUCGGGCAGGAGGGGAACUCCGGCUAGGGUGGUUCCCGGGCCAAAAUUGGUGUGGGGAUUGAUUUGCGGUGGCUGAGGGAGGCUAGAUGUGGCUACAGAAGAGCAGCCGGACUCGGGGCAGCCCGAAUUUACGCAGAGAUGGCUGACGGUGCUGCGGCGACAGGGAGGGCAAGAUGAGGGGCUCUGAUCGAAUUUGCGCAAGGGGGAGCGAGCUGCGAGUCGGAGGGGGCUGGUGAGACGCUCGGAAGGCUCUAGUCAACCCUUUUAUAGUCGAGCAACGACGGUUCCGCGGCAGCUACGGAUAAGCACGCCGGCAACAGACUCUGGCGAUGGUUCAGGUGCACAAGGGUGGCACGGGGCUCAGCAGGGUCGGCAGUAGCUAGAGGAUGAUUCAAAGGGAAGGACCACGAGCAGCUGGCGCACUGGAGGAACUCGAGCAGCGCCGACCACUACAGCAGCAAAGAGGACGUCGGCCAGAUGCCACGGCUAUUGCGCCGCUGAGGUACUACGCGUGCAGAGUGGUGGCAACUACUGGUCGGGGAGGAGCGGUGACGUGACUCUGCAGCAGACCAAAAGGGCAAGGUGUGCAUGGACGCGGCGGCUUGGCACACACGCGUGCCAAACGUGCGCUCUGGGUGCCCCCAAAGCACGCACCAAGGUGUUCGACGCAAUGCCCAGCACUACCACACACAUCCAAGAUUGCUUAGACUUACCAGGCUCGAGUUAUGGGUUAAGGCCAAUGCGAUGGACAAAGACUUAGGGUUAGUGGAGCAACUCUGAAGUGCAGUACAAGCUCAUGCCAAAUCUGGCCAUGCACCAAAGGUGCUUGAUGAAAUGCCAUGCGCUUCAGUUGAGCUUUUCUGCAACCCAAAAACUCCAGAUCAUACUCUCCCUAGGUGUUAGUUAAGAUGGUCAAUUUAG
rnacentral:lncRNA from 1 species